UUAAGUCCGCAACGAGCGCAACCCUUGUCAUUAGUUGCUACAUUUAGUUGGGGCACUCUAAUGAGACUGCCGGUGACAAACCGGAGAAGGUGGGGAUGACGUCAAGUCCUCAUGGCCCUUAUAGGUGGGGCUACACACGUCAUACAAUGGUCGGUACAGAGGGUUGCCAAGCCGCGAGGUGGAGCCAAUCCCUUAAAGCCGAUCGUAGUCCGGAUCGUAGUCUGCAACUCGACUACGUGAAGUCGGAAUCGCUAGUAAUCGCAGAUCAGCAUGCUGCGGUGAAUACGUUCCCGGGUCUU
rnacentral:rRNA from 1 species